GUCCAGGGAUGGGAACCGAACCCACUGUGUUCCGCUUACCGGGCAGAUGCCAUGUCCACUAGGCUACCCUGGA
rnacentral:tRNA from 1 species